AACCAACGGACAUCCAAGGGAAGUGAGCGGAGUAAUUAUAAAGCUCCUCAUUUUGGAAUCUGUUUAUAUCAACGACGUGUUAGUGUCUUGAAAGGGCUGUCGUCAUCAGAGAAAGUCACAAGUGUUAUUGAGAUUGUCGUGGUCGUGCAGAUGAAAAGUUACCUUUUAAAGAAGAGAAUAAUGUGGUGAGAAGAGAACUGAGUCAAGAGAUGAAUGCUGGAUGAUACCAGCAUUAAGGGAAUGGAUAAAAGAAAGAGGAGCUGUGAAGGAGACUGAAAACAAGCAGUCACAGUUCAAAGAUGGAACCCAAGACAGACUGAUGUCAUGGAAGACAAAGGAGAGAACGUUUCAGAAGGAGGAAGGGCAGGCUUUGGUAUAAAUGUCAUCAGUAAAGAAACUCAAUUUAAAUGAAGAUAGCAUUACCAUUACUCUGAAGUUACCCAGUUAAUAGUAAAAUAAAAUUUAUCCUUUCUGUAAAGAACAUGAAAUCACAAAUCUACGGAGGGAAGUUCUUGGUGAAUGUUCCAUUCCUUUAACACUGUGUGUAAGGUGAUUCUUUUUCUCGCUAAAUUGAAAUGUUUUAUGUUAUAAAAGCAUCAUUCAAAAGGACCAGGAAAAAUGGAGUACUAACAUUUAAAAGCCUAAAGACAGCAGCAUGACCCAAAAACUUCCUGGUCUCUCCACCGUGGACAAUCAGGCCACUGGAAAGGGAGAUGAAACUGAAGGCCUCUGCCCUCUGAGAAGAUGAACAGAACUCACCAGAGCACAAAGAAAAUAAAUAUCUACUCCUGGUUGAAGUCUUUUUUCGACUAGAGUCAUGGCCUUCACAGGGAGACAAUCUAUUGACCACUUCCGGAGCUGUGCUGUGGAAAAAGAAGAGACCAGAAAAAGGAAGCCUUGGGGACAUGUUUUGCAUGAAUUAGCAAAGUCCAAUGAAGGGCGUCUACGUGGUGAAAGAAAUCAGUGGCCAGCCCAGUGUCGCAGCGGUUAAGUGCGCACGUUCCGCUUUGGUGGCCCGGGGUUCACUGGUUCGGAUCCCGGGUGUGGACAUGGCACCGCUUGGCAAGCCAUGCUGUGGCUGGAACAUGUAUAUGGUGGUGACCGAGCUUUGGCCAUGCAGGAGAUGGCAGGAGCAACAUAAAGCCUGGUCCACUCUCAGCUGCAUGCACUGCACCCACCCCAGGUCUUUUGUUCAUAUUCAAGCAGAGGUGCCAAUGAAAACAAACCAGAGAUGUCUGCACAGAGUUCCUGCCCUAAGAAAAGCCCAGGGCAGAAAGGUGAGCAUGUCCAAUGCAAAGAGUCUCAGAGCUCCUAAUGACUCCAGCCCAGAACUGCAGCAGAAGUUGCCAGUGAGACCAUCACUGGGGUGAAGCUGAUGGGGCUCCUGCACACGUCUGUGGAAGAUACAGAGUGGAAUGUACCCCAGGGAGGACUGGGCCGGUAUGGCACAUGGAGUAACGAAGAUCAGCAUCGCUGACCAGAAUCUAUGCCCAUUAUGAGCGAGCAGGGGGAAGGCGGCCUGCAUGCUGCCCAGGGUGGGUGAGAACUGACCUGGUGGGACACAAGGCCACCUGGGCCCAGAAGAAACAGCAGAGACCUAAGUAUUUGGUCCUUUUGUCCCCAAAGAUUGAGGGGCCUCAGGGACAGUUUGGGAGAAAAAUUUAAUGCUGAGCUGGACUCACAGCUCCAUUCUUGGGCACCAUUUUGUUGCCUGUCCUGACUUAGCCAAAUGGACAUUUAACACUUGUCAAAAAUAUCCCUUCAGAACACUCACUCUGAGUUGCCUGCUAAUUCCAUGAAGUCAUUUGUGGUUCUUCCAUGAUAAUCUAUAGGGGGAAACUGUGUAAUUGCUAAAAAUAAUGAAUGUAAAUCAACACACAAUAAGUGGUUCUUUAUAAAUACCUAUUUGCGCAGGUUGUUUACCUGCUGAAACAGCUCCAUCUCAAAAGAAUAAUAUACCAUUUAAAAAUUAGGUCAAGUUGGGGCUGGCCCUGUGGCCUGGUGGUUAAGUUCAGCAUGCUCCGCUUUGGUGGCCCAGGUUCAGUUCCCAGGUGCAGACCUACACCACUCAUCGGUGGCCAUGCUGUGGCAGUGACACACAUACAAAAUAGAGGAAGAUUGGCACAGAUGUUAGCUCAGGGCUAAUCUUCCUCAGGAGGAAAAAAAAGCUGGGUUAAGGGAAAGGACAAAAUAACUCAGGGUUUGACAAACUUUCUGUAAAGGGUGAGAUAGUAAAUAUUUUCAGAUUUGCAGGCCACACGGUCUCAGUAAAUGAGACAAAAGGUUCCCAGAAGGCUUAGGUAAUUCUGUGAGUUGACUGUGAGACAAAAAUAUGCCCUCUGUCGAUUAUAAAAAAUAUCUCACAAUGUUCCAGAAAAGGUGAUUUUACUUCCCUUCGUUCACAAAAUUAUUUGUGAAUUAAAUGCUAGUGAAAACGGAGACUACAGGGCACGUCAAAGAGCCAUGGAGAAUCGUGCCUUGAUGUGGUUUGUCCACUUCCCUCAACCACUGCUCUAGCUGUUGUAGGGAGUUAUUUCUAACUUCUCUAUGAGACCCUC
rnacentral:lncRNA from 1 species